GGGGUUGUGGCUCAGAGGUAGAGCUCUCGCCUAGCAUAUGCGAGCCUAGCACUUUCGAGGCCCUGGGUUCGAUCCUCAGCACCACA
rnacentral:tRNA from 1 species